rnacentral:SRP_RNA from 2 species
GCCAGGCAUGGUGGCUCAUGCCUGUAAUCCCAGCAUUUUGGGAGGCUGAGGCGGGUGGAUCACCUGAGGUCAGGAGUUCGAGACCAGCCUGGCCAACAUGGUGAAACCCUGUCUCUA